rnacentral:misc_RNA from 1 species
UCGUGACCCUGACCAAAACAGACCGCGCACGCGUCAUCCAGCCCGCCGAGCGGUCCGCUGCUCGGCCAAGUCCCCGACAACCUCCUCUCCUCGGAGCAGGGGCUCGGGGUAAAAGAACCCACGGCGCCGAAGGCGUCAAGGAACACUGUGCCUAGCUCGGGGACGCGGCUGGCUUGCUGGCCGCACCCCGUGCUGCAAUGCUAUUUAAUCCACACGACUCUCGGCAACGGAUAUCUCGGCUCUCGCAUCGAUGAAGAACGUAGCGAAAUGCGAUACUUGGUGUGAAUUGCA